rnacentral:rRNA from 1 species
CCUACGGGAGGCAGCAGUGAGGAAUAUUGGUCAAUGGAGGCAACUCUGAACCAGCCAUGCCGCGUGAAGGAAGAAUGUCCUACGGAUUGUAAACUUCUUUUAUUUGGGAAGAAACCCCUCUACGUGUAGAGGGCUGACGGUACCAAACGAAUAAGGACCGGCUAACUCCGUGCCAGCAGCCGCGGUAAUACGGAGGGUCCAAGCGUUAUCCGGAAUCAUUGGGUUUAAAGGGUUCGCAGGCGGUUUAUUAAGUCAGUGGUGAAAGCCUACAGCUCAACUGUAGAACUGCCAUUGAUACUGAUAGACUUGAAUUUAGUUGGAGUAGGCGGAAUGUGUAGUGUAGCGGUGAAAUGCUUAGAUAUUACACAGAACACCGAUAGCGAAGGCAGCUUACUAAACUACGAUUGACGCUCAUGAACGAAAGCGUGGGGAGCGAACAGGAUUAGAUACCCUGGUAGUCCACGCAGUAAACGAUGAUUACUCGUUAUUGGCGAUACACGGUCAGUGACUAAGCGAAAGUGAUAAGUAAUCCACCUGGGGAGUACGGUCGCAAGAUUGAAACUCAAAGGAAUUGACGG